CACCUAGUGUGCGAGUUGUAAAUUGCAGGUUGGAGUCUCGGGUUAGACGUGUGUGCAAGUCCCUUGGAACAGGGUGCCACUGAGGGUGAGAGCCCCGUAGCGUGCAUGUCGACACCUGUGAGGCCCUUCUGACGAGUCGAGUUGUUUGGGAAUGCAGCUCUAAGUGGGUGGUAAAUUCCAUCUAAGGCUAAAUAUUGGCGAGAGACCGAUAGCGAACAAGUACUGUGAAGGAAAGAUGAAAAGCACUUUGAAAAGAGAGUGAAACAGCACGUGAAAUUGUUGAAAGGGAAGGGUAUUGGGCUCGACAUGGGAUUUACGCAUCGUUGCCUCUCGUGGGCGGCGCUCUGGGUUUUUCCUGGGCCAGCAUCGGUUUUCGUUGCAGGAUAAGGACAAUUGGAAUGUGGCUCCUCGGAGUGUUAUAGCCUUUUGUAGAUGCUGCGUAUGGGGACCGAGGGCUGCGGCGGACUCGUUUCGUCUCGG
rnacentral:rRNA from 1 species